AGAUCGGCAGGACGUGUUGCCAAACAUUGUGCAUGUACGUUUGGCAGUUUCUGAUGUUCGGAAUGAAUUUUCGUCUUUAGUAGUCCUGUUGUCUUUAAUUUACGGCUUAUACACAUAAUGUACCCUCUGAAGGCCACCUAUUCAAAGGAGUGUUCGGAUGCUAUGGAUCAAUAAACACAAUAAAGGAUUAAAGGCUGAUAUCACCAUUGAAAUAAUCAACACAGACGAAAGCACUACCGAAACGGGGUGUCUGUAUAUAUUACACAGGAAAAAAACAAGAAGUGUUGUGAGCGAGCUUAAAUCACCUCCCUUGCCCGCACAGCAUUACAGAUUCACGUAUCGAUUCACCGAAAACUAAGGCGCAGAUCGACGAUGCUGGAGUUUUUGUCGUGCGCCACGCUAAAGCCGGGCAGCGUGGCAAUCGCUGCCGCCGCCGCCAAUCCACCCGG